GAUGAGAAUAAUUUCCAAUUAGAUUACAGUUAGUCCUUCAUGUACAAUCUUUGUUUAGUAUCAUUCUGAUACUUAAGAAAUUUUUCAGAGCGUGCUAUAUCUUUGCAGCAGUUUGUUGGAUCUACUAAGUCCUCUCAUCUACACCGCAAUGUGUAUUUUUUGCUUAAUUGCAAUAUAUAAGUGUUAAUUCUAUAUAUAAGUUUGGAAAUUUUCUCGUGAGCCUUUUAAAUUCCUGAUUAGCCUUCUAUUGCAGCUUAUUUCAGCUAUUGACCGCCAUAGACAGUCUACUGACCAUCCAAUCAAAUUCAUUUCUAGAAGACAACCUAAUAUUCUGAAAUUCAAAAUGAAGCCAGGACCCGAAGCUGGCAGCACGGAUGGGCGAACUAAGAAGAUCUGUUCCUUCCUCUUCCACCCAAUAUUACCCCUUGCACUUUCUGUUCAACAAACCUUGUUUCUGCAGGCAUCAGUUGUAAAUAUCCAUUUUCGUCGAUAAUGUAAAAACUUAUUUUAUAUGUUACCUAUUUGUUUAUAAAUUUCUCUAAUGACCUCUAGAUUGAAAUCAACCUAGAAAUCGCAAAUUAAUUAUAACAGAUCUGUAGAUGCUAGUUUUCUUCGACUCCUACAUUUUCUUUGCUACAAGCAUCAGACGAAUGCUUGAUAGGCCAAGAGGGUUAGUAUGGUCAUAAGGAUUUGUUCAUCUGUAAGUUGUUUGUUACAGCUUCUCUUCUAUUAUUGAUGUACAUUCAGAUAUUUAUUUGUGAGGUAGAAAACUGAUGAAGACCCCUUUUUGGUUGUCUAUGAAUAUUGUAGACUAUGGUACCCAAAAUUCUUUUA